ACAUGGGUCUAGACAAACCUACCUAGAAUUUCUAAAACAAUAUAAUUAUAAUGGUACAUGUAAAUUACAUGCGUAGAUUUAUUCUUUUUGUAUCGGCUUUCAUGUUAGUAGAUUCUAAAAAAUAUGGUGUGAUGUAUAAAUAAUUAUGGUCAAAGCUACAUUUCUGGAAUUGGCAAACAUUUUCUGAAUCGCAAACAUAUUUUUUGAAUUUGUGAACAUUUAUUUAAUUCGCAAACUCUUUUUUUUCAAAUUUGCCUUGGAUGUUAGUAGAUUCUAAGGAUAUGAUGUGAUGUACCCCCUCCGUCCUAAAAUUCUUGUCGUAGAUUUGUCUAGAUAUGGAUGUAUCUAACACUAAAAUGUGACUAGAUACAUCUGUAUGUAGAUAAAUCUAAGACAAGAAUUUUGGGAUGGAGGGAGUAUAAAGAAUUAUGGUCAAUGCUAUGUUUAGUGUUUGGGUCAUUAUUAUUUGGAAGCAGGGUAAGAAAAGAAGAUUAUCAUUUGGGCUUGAUAGAGUAUCAUUAUAUCCCACUCGGUCGUGUCUGCAUCAAACGCGUGUCCCACUUUGGAGAAGAAUACACCAACCAUUUUGGUAGCGGGCCUAUAACUCAUCUCAACAAUUCUGUUUAGGUCUCAUUCCGCUAAUACGCUAGGCACCAUCUCCUUUCCCGUAUUUCUCUUAGUCUCACUCCCAAACACUUCACAAUCCAACAGAGGGAAUGCCAACAUCCAUGGUGGCAUUGUCCCAUUCGGCCGUUCAUCCCACUUGAGAGGAUGAAGGCUCUAGCAACAUCAUGUGAGAGGCAUCGGUGCUAGUGAUUUUGCCACCAUCCUGGCCACGACGACAAUGCCGCAGAGCAUAUAGUGGAGGGUAGAGUAGGGAAGUGGUGCGACGACGCCGCGGGAAGAGGUGUCUUCUUCCGGGCGAGUGUUAGGCAGAUAGACAUGACUCCCAACAAAAUGUCGAUAAAGCGUCAGAUUAGACAAUGGAUCAACAUCAGUAGCACAUAUAGUGGAGGGUAGAGUAGGAAAGUGGAGCGACGGCGCCGCGGGAAGAGGUGCACUCGAACGGGGGGCACUGUAGUCUGUUUCUUCUUCCGGGCGAGUGUCAGGCAGAUAGAAAAGACUCCCAACAAAAUGUCGAUAAAGUGUUAGAUUAGACAAUGAAUCAACAUCAGUAGAAGGGAGGUGAACAUUGAGUUCCAUGGGAGUCUCAACAGUGCGCUCAUCGGUAAGAGUAGCACGAGUAAGAUCUUGGAUUAUUAUUUUUGAGCAAGAAGGGACCUCAAUCCCAAGAAAGUAGCAGAGAGAGCCAAGAUAAGACAUAAGAAACUGCAUAACAUGCCUUCACAAAGGCAAUAUACUCACGGUUUGCGUCGGUGAUGAUCAUGUCAUCAACAUGAAAAAGAGUCCUACCAAGAGCAGAAAGGAGGGCAAACAACGUCGGAUCUUGAGCACUCGCUGAAAACCAGCAACAUCCACCAUAGAGGCAAAACGUUCAAACCAGGCACGAGAGGCUUGCUUAAAAUCAUAGAGAGAGCGAUGAAGACGACUAAGCAUGUCGUAAGGAGUAGAAUACCCAGGUGGUGGUUGUAUGUAAACCUCCUCAUGCAACUCACUAUUAAGAAAGGAAUUCUUAACAUCAAGCCUAUACACGAACCAGUGGCGAAUAGAGGCCACAAGCAUACGGUUUUGCAGGAGCAAAAGUCUCAUCGUAAUCAGGACCAUGCUCCUGCUGAAAGCCAUGACCCACAAGACAAGUUUUUCUAAUGCUCAAGAGAACCAUCAGAGUGAGUCCUAACCUUGUAGUCCCACCAAGUGAUGGGACGAUCAUGAGGAGGAACAGAAACAAUAUCCCACGUGCUGAUGCACUCAAGAGCAGCAACCUCCUGUGUCAUCACAAGGUGCCAUUUGGUAUGGACAACAUCGCAACAAGUCGGCUCAAGAACAGCAACGCCAACGCUUGGAAGACCAAGGCGGUCAACAUGCCGAAGUGGACGAGGACACAAGCCACAAGUAGGUUGAGACGGGGAAGAUGGCACAUCAGUAGACGCAUCGACAACAUGCAGACGACCUAUAUAGAAGUUAGGAAUUUUUUUGGAAGAAUACGAGUUGGAAUCAUCGGGGGAUAAACUAAGGUGAUGGAGACAAGGAAGCCACCGGUGAUGAAGGUGUAGAAUCAUGUGAAAUAAUCAGAGAAGCAUAAGCAGUACAACUACUGGUUCAGGGCUCAAUAGGAGUGGUAGGAGUGUCAGGAAAAUUGUGGGAAGAGAUAUACUCCAGUUAAAAGGCCAAAGAAGAUGGACGCGGGUCAUAUCGUAAGAAAUAGGCAUCCGACGACUAACAUGAUCCCAACAACGAUAUUCCUUAUGCUCAUCGUUGUAUCUUAAGAAGACACACUCAACAGACUGAGAAGUCAGUUUGGUGCGUUCACGAGGGGCAAGAAGGACCUAGCAAUCACAAACAAAAAAUUGAAGCGCCGAAUAACCGAUCAAAUAGACGAUCGAAAGAAGCAUCACCCUGCAGAGCAGUGGAUUGCUGAAGGUUGUUGAGAUAGAUGGAAGUGGAGACAGACUCGGCCCAAAAGUGCAGUGAAACAGAGGUGGUGACCAUCAAUGGAGGAGCCGUCUCAAGAAGGUGACGACGCUUGCGCUCAGCCACACCAUUUUGAGCAUGAGUACCAGAAUAAGAGAACCAAAGUCUGCCCAGCAAGGAUUCCACACAACAGCUUGGAGAUACUCUCCACUAGAGUUACCAUAGAACACAUGAAUAGGCGUAGAGAAUUGAGUGUGGACCACGGCAGCAAAAGGCUUAUAGAUAAGACACUGUCUCGCCAUGGUGUGUUGAGAGAAAUAAAGUAUAUCCAGGUGUGUUGAGAGAAGUCACUAGCGGAGGCAAAGGGAGAUGAUCCCUCGAGAUCAAAGUAACAAAGUCUAAAGGAUGCUGAGACACUGUCUCGCCAUGAGUAUAAGGUAACUGGACCAUGUAUUAGAGAUAUCAUCGGAGACGGAUCCAAGAAGAUCGUGUCGAACUAAGGAUGAGAGAUCACAAGUGACCAAAGGUGAUGAUGCCACUCUUGAAAAUAUCUGGUAGAUAGGGCAACAGAGGCAAAGACUAGCGGCAGUGUCGAACUAAGGAUGAGAGAUCACUGACCCAAGGUGAUGAUGCCACUCUUGAAAAUAUCUGGUAGAUAGGGCAACAGAGGCAGAGACUAGCGGCACUCGCAGUAGAGGGACUUGAUCCGACAUCCCACUUGCCUGUGCACUCAUUGUACCCCGCCGAUCUGGCUAGGUGUUCCAUUCCUGUUUGCGGGUUGUGUGCCACGUGCUUGAUUAAGCACCCUGGGUUCUCCUACUGUGCGCCCUUGGCCUUGACUUUUGGUAGAGCCUGUCCUCGGCUCGUCUCGUGCAUAAUCCAGGUACGCGUCGACUGUCCGAGCUCCUGCUCACCAUUGGUGGUGCUUGAGCGUGCGGUUAUGGUGUCACACAUAAAGGGAACACGGGAUGUGGGAUUGAGACAAUGCUUGUAGCAACCUGCAGAAAGGCAAAGGAUGCCCAUCAAGGCUGAGCGAAGGUGGUCGCAAAGGUGGACGUUGCUAGUGAUGAUCCUGGUGCCAAUGAUGAUCGACAUGUACAAGUGUUUGACCACGAGCCUUCACCAAGGCAAUGUACUCAGAGUCGUUGCUCGUGAUGAUCGACAUGUAGAAGAAGUGUUUGACCAGUGUUGAAUGGUGGACCGAAAGCGUAGGAUAAUGAGCACUCGCCAAAAACUAGCCGCAAUCACCACUGAGACGAAGCGCUCAAAGCACGCAUGAGGGUUUUGCUUAGGGCCAUAUAGACAGCGACGGAGAUGACAAACCAUGCCAUUAGGAAGAGAACCGAGGUGGUGGCUAGUUGUAGGCAUUCUUGACAUCAAGCUGAGAGACAGACCAGCGGCGAAUAGAAGCCACAUUGAGAAGUGUGCGAAGAGUGGUCAUGUGGGCCAUAUAUAUAGGAGAAAAUGUCUCUUCGUAGUCACGACCAUGUUCUCACCACUAAACAAGCUUUGUUAUGCUCAAGAGUAUCAUCAGUCUUAGCCUUGUAGACCCACUUACAAGUGAUGAGACGAGAACGAGGAGGAAGGGAAAUGAGAUUCCACGUGCCGAUGCGGGCAAGAGCACCAAGCUAUGAUGCCAUCACAUGCAACCAUUUGGGAUGAACAACCUCACGACAAGAAGUUGUCUCGGGAAGAGCUAAGCAGUAACCAUAGCGGUCAAUAGGUAGAAGCGGGCGAGCUCGAAAAGCAUAAGUAGGCUAAGCUUGAGGCGGUGCGUUUCCAACGAAAGAAGCUAUAAUAGUCGAGGGAGAUGGCGUAUCAGAAGAAUCCACAACACACGGACCAUGAGUCUAGUAAAGUCAAGGAACAUGAGCAAAAGAAGGAACAUAUAAAAAGUCAAAGUGAGUCAUAACAUUCCCACCAAGUGAUGGGACGAACACGACGAGGAAGAGAAAGAAUAUCGCACGUGCCGAUGCGCUCAAGAUCAACAAUCUUCUCUGCCAUCGCAAGAUGCCAUUUGGUAUGAAUAACAUCACGAUAAGAGUCAGAUCAAGAACACGAGUGCCACCACUUGGAACGCCAAGGUGGUUAACAGAAGGAAGCGGACGAGGAAGCAAGCCAUAAGUAGGCCGAGAGGGCAAGUGGCACAUCAGUAGACACAUUCACAACAUGCGGACGAUGUAUAUAGAAGUGAGGAAAAGAUGGAAGAAUACGAGCAUAAAUCAUCGAGAUAAACUCAGGUGAUGGAGACAAGGAAGCCAAAACUCAUGAAGGUGUAGAAUCCUGUGAUAAGCGAGGUGAGGAAAUCAUAGGAGAUGAUGGCAUUGGAUCUGCAAUUAUGGGAGAAGUAGGAGCAUUACAAUGAAUGGAUAAGGGAGUCACAUGAGUGUUGGAUUAAAAAAAGAAGAGAUCACCUCCAUUGAAAAGGCCGAGGAAGAUGGACGCGGGUAGAAGGGAUGAGACUCAUCAAAAGUCAUAUCUCGAGAAGUAGGCAUCCGACGCCCAACAUGAUCCCUUAUGCUCAUCGUUGUACCCUAAGAAGACACACUCAAUGGACUGAGCAGUCAGUUUGGGGCGUUCACGUGGGCAAGGACAUAACAAACACAACCAAACAAUUGAAGCCCUGAAUAAUCAGGAAAGAAUCAAAUAGACGGUCGAAAGGAGUGCCACCCUGCAGAGCAAUGGAUUGCUUUGCUGAAGGUUGAUUAGAUGGAAGUGGAGACAUACUCGGCCCAAAAGUGUGGUGAAAGAGAGGCGGUGACCAUCAAUGGAGGAGCCGUCUCAAGAAGGUGACGAUGCUUGCGCUCGGCCACACCAUUUUGAGCAUGAGCACCAGGAUAAGAGAAUCAAAGUCUGCUCAGCAAGGAUUCCAUGCAACAGCUUGGAGAUAUACUCUCCACCAGAGUCACCAUAGAACACAUGAAUAGGCGUAGAGAAUUGAGUGUGAAUUAUGGCAGCAAAAGGCUUAUAGAUAAGACCUCAGUACGAGAAGAAAUAAAGUAUAUAUCCAGGUGUGUUGAGAGAAGUCACUAGCGGAGGCAAAGGGAGAAGAAGAUCCCUCGAGAUCAGAGUGAACAAGGAUGAGAGAUGAGGUAACUGGACAACGUAUUAGAGAGAUCAUCGGAAUUGGAUCCAAGAAGACCACGUCAAACUAAGGAUGAGAGAUCACAAGUGACCCAAGGUGAUGAUGCCACUCUUGAAAAUAUCUGGUAGACAAGCAACAGAGGCAGAGACUAGCGGCACUGGCAAUACAGGGACUUGAUCCGGCAUCCCACUUGCCUGUGCACUCUUCGUACCCCGCCGAUCUGGCUAGGUGUUCCUUUUUUGUUUGCGGGUUGUGUGCCACGUGCUUGAUUAAGCACCCCGGGUUCUCCUACUGUGCGCCCUUGGACUUGACUUUUGGUAGCGCGUGUCCUCGGCUCGUCUCGUGCAUAAUCCAGGUACGCGUCGAUUGUCCGAGCUCCUGCUCACCAUUGGUGGUGCUCGAGCGUGCGGUUAUGGUGUCACACAUAAAGGGAACACGGGAUGUGGGAUUGAGACAGUGCUUGGAGCAACCCGCAGAAAGGCAAAGGAUGCCCAUCAAGACUGGUAGGGAGCGAAGGUGGUCACAAAGGUAGACGUUGCUAGUGAUGAUCCUGGUGCCAGUGAUGAUCGACAUGUAGAAGUGUUCGACCACGAGCUUCACCAAGGCAAUGUACUUAAGAAUCGUUGCCAGAGAUGAUCGACUUGUAGAAGAAGUGUUCGAUCAUGGGUUGAAUGGUGGACCGAAAGUUUAGGAUAAUGAGCACUCGCCAAGAAGAUAAUGUCGAACUAAGGAUGAGAGAUCACAAGUGACGCAAGGCAAUGAUGCCACUCUUGAAAAUAUCUGGUAGACAAGGCAACAGAGGAAGAGACUGGCGGCACUGGCAGUAGAGGGACCCGGCAUCCAACUUGCUUCUUCGUACCCCGACGAUCUGGCUCGGCGUUCUUUUCCUGUUUGUGGGUUGUCCUCGGCUCGUCCCGUGCAUAAUCCAGGUACGCGUCGACUGUCUGAGCUCCUGCUCACCAUUGGUGGUGCUCGAGUGUGCGAUUAUGGUGUCAAACAGUGCUCAUAGCAACCCGCAGCAAGGCAAAGGAUGCCCAUCCAGGUAGGGAGCGGAGGUGGUCACAAAGGUGGACGUUGACUCCAUAGGAGUCUCAACCGUGCGGAUAUAAGAAAUUCACUAUGACGAGCCUUCACCAAGGCAAUGUACAUAGAGUCGUUGCUAGUGAUGAUCGACAUGUAGAAGAAGUGUUCAAUCACGAGUUGAAUGGUGGACCGAAAGUGUAGGAUAAUGAGCACUCGCCAAAAACUAGUCGCAAUCACCACUGAGACGAAGCGCUCAAACCAGGCACGAGGGGUUUGCUUAGGGCCAUAUAGACAGCGACGAAGACAACAAACCAUGCCAUUAGGAAGAGAACCUAGGUGGUGGCUACUUGUAGGCAUUCUUGACAUCAGGUUGAGAGAUAGAAUAGCAGCGAAUAGAAGCCACAUUGAGAAGUGUGCGAAGAGUGGUCACGUGGGCCAUAUAUAUAGGAGCAAAUGUCUCUUCGUAGUCAUGACCAUGUUCUCACCACUAAAGGAGCUUUGUAAUGCUCAAGAGUAUCAUCAGUUUUAAGCUUGUAGACCCACUUACAAGAGAUGAGAUGAGCACAUGGAGGAAGGGAAAUGAGAUUCCACGUUCCGAUUCGGGCAAGAGCAUCAAUCUUCGAUGCCAUCACAUGCAUCCAUUUGGGAUGAACAAUCUCAUGGCAAGAAGUCGUCUUGGGAAGAGCUGCACAGUAACCAUAGCGGUCAAUAGGUAGAAGAAGGCGAGCUAGAAAUCCAUAAGUAGGCUAAGCUGGAGGCGGUGCGUUGCCAACGAAAGAAGAUAUAAUAGUCGAGGGAGAUGGCUUAUCAGGAGAAUCCACAACAUGCGGACCAUGAGUGUAGUGAGUCGAGUUACAUGAGCAAAAGAAGAAAUAUAUAAAAAGUCAAAGUGAGUCAUAACAUUCCCACCAAGUGAUGGGACGAACACAAGGAGGAAGAGAAACAAUAUCUGAUGAGGAAAAAAACCGUAUGUCAGAUUUGUUUGACUACUUCUAUAUGCUUCCACUCUAGUGUAGUAUUUCUUUUGUUUUCUUUUCUACCCUACCCACUGUUUUCUAGAGUCUUCUAGUUGUGAGUAGCUAUGAGUAGAAUGGUGAAACUUACAUAAUGUUUUCUAGAGUAUUCCAUCUAUAAGUAGAAGUAUGUGAAGGCUUCCCGUAGCCCUAUAAAUAGAGGUCCUCACCUACUUUGUACCAGACUAUGUACCCACUACCUGUAAUAGAACUUGUUGUUCUUAUCUAAGAUCUUGGAGUAGAUCUUGUGCUCUAGGAGUUCUGGACUGAACUCUUGCUGCCCUAUCGGCCUACAUCCGCCUCUAGAGCGAUAUCUAGCACAGCACGUUGAAGCUGUUCCUUCAACACUUGUGUUGUACACAUUGUAGCGGCAAGGUGGAGUUGCUCCUCCACAAUCUUUGUGCUGCUUCAGGUGGCAUCAGAGCCUCGUUAACCCAUACUAUAGUUCUUGUUGUUCUCUUCGAGAGCAAGCUGCAGCAAGUAAUGGAGCAAUUGGAGAAGAGGAUGGAUGCUGCAGAACAACAAAUCAAAGAGCUGCGUGAAGAUCUUAAUCAGAGACUUGACCAGCUAGUUGAGAUGAUAAGAAAGGGUGUUCCCCCUGCUACCAAUGAAGGAGAUUCAUCUAAAGAAGAUGUUCAUCAAAGAAGGAGAGGUAAUCUUGGAGCAAGACCGCCACAACAACAUGCUGUUCAAUGUGCUUCAAGAAGGCCAAUUUAUGUUGGAACUUCUGAAGGUGAAGAAUAUGAUGAAGCCCUUGAAGAAGCUGAUCUCUAUGCAUAUCGGAGAGUACCCAACCUUACAUAUGCAAGGGAUACAUACAAGGUGAAAGCUGAGAUCCCAACUUUUAAUGGAAAUGUUGAUAUUGAAGGGUGCCUAGAUUGGUUAUAUGAAGUGGAGACUUUCUUUGAGGUCAUGGAGGUUCCGGAAGAUCGUAGAGUCCCUUUGGUCGCAUACAAGCUCAAAGGAGGAGUUGGUGCAUGGUGGCAUCACGUUCAAGAAGAGCGCAGGCUGAGAGGAGAACCUCGUGUGAGAACUUGGCGGCAAAUGAAAAGUCUCUUGAAAGGGAGAUUUUUGCCUGCUGAUUAUGACCAGAUCCUAUUUAUCCAAUUUCAAAAUUGUGCUCAAGGAAAUAGGACUGUUUCAGAUUAUACGGAGGAGUUUCUAAGGCUACAAGUGAGGUGCAACCUUGCUGAAACUGAAGAUCAACAAGUUGCAAGGUACAUCAAUAGUCUCAAUGAUGCUAUUCAAGAUCGAUGAUGCUGCAACAAAUCUGGUCCGUUGAUCAAGCACAAGCUCUAGCCUUAAAAGCCGAGAGGUUUGUGAGGACAAGAAAGGCAACUAAGGCUCCAUAUCCUCCAUAUCCUCAUACCGAAGGCAUGUCUAGGAGUCAUCCUAAUAGUGGAAGGAAAGACCGCUCCACCAAAGGCAAAAUGACCCAUCCAGAAGUAAACUAGAGGCAAGGGUAAGUCCAAUGAAGGCCCAAAAUCCUAUAAAUGUGGUGAAGAGGGACACAUAUCCAGCGGUUGCCCACUAAGGAAAUUUGUUAACACAACUAUCCAUGAUGGUGAAGGCGAUGAGGAAGAAUAUGAAUCUAAAGAUGUAGAGGGACAAGAAGUUUGUCAAGAAGAAGGUGAAGAGGUGGUAUGUGUGAUUCAGCGUCUCCUAUGCUCCACACCACAACCUGAAGACAAACAAAGGAAGAAAAUAUUUGAGAGCAAAUGCACAGUGAAUGGUAUGCAAGUUAGUGAUUGAUAGUUGCAGCUGCGAGAAUCUUAUCCCCCAAAAGUUGGUGAGCCAUUUAAAGCUUGAUACUCAUGAUCAUCCAAACCCCUACACUAUUGGGUGGAUCAAGAAAGGAGUGCAUAUGAGGAUCACCAAACAAUGCAACUUGCCACUUCCCUUGGGCAAGCAUUAUCGCUCAAAUGUGUUGUAUGGCAUAGUUGAUAUGGACGCUAGCCAUGUUCUUCUUGGGAGACCUUGGCAAUUUGAUGCGGAUACUACACACAAGGGCAAGGAAAACCCUUACUCUUUCAUUUGGAACAAGAGAAAAAUCAUUAUCUUACCAAACAAAACCGAAGGUAAUACCUCUAAGGAGGAAGGGAAAACUAUGUUAACUAUCUCCCAUACCUCUCAUGAGUUUAUGGAAGGCUUGAAGGAGGCAGAUUUGUGUCUUGCACUUGUUGUAAAACGAGAAGAGCACCCGACUGUUGAAAUUCCAGCAAAGGUACGUGGUUUAUUGGCAGAAUUUCAAAACAUACUUGGAGAGCCACAAGGCUUUUUUUAAGGUUAGCCACAAGGCUUGCCACCGAUGAGAGGAAUACAACAUAGAACUGACUUAAUUCCGGGAGCAAGUCUUCCUAAUCUUCCAGACUAUCGAAUGAGCCCAAAGGAGCAUGAUAUAUUGAAGGAGCAACAUUCACCUAUGCCGUCGCAAGGAGCCAUUUGGUAUGAAAUAACAUCACGAUAAGAAGUCAGCUCAAGAACAUCAGCGCGAACGCUUGGAAGACCAAGGCGGUUAACAAGCGGAAGCGAACGAGGAAGCAAGUCAUAAGUAGGCUAGGAGGGGAAGUGGCACAUCAGUAGACACAUUCACAACACGCGGACUAUGUAUAUAAAAGUGAGGAAAAGAUGGAAGAAUACGAGCAAAAAUCAUCGUGAUAAACUCAGGUGAUGGAGACAAGGAAGCCACAACUGAUGAAGGUGUAGAAUCCUGUGAUAAGCGAGGUGAGGAAAUCAUAGGAGAUGAUGGCAUUGGAUCUGCAAUUAUCGAAGAAGCAGGAGCAGUACAACGAAUGGAUAAGGGAGUGAUAGGAGUGUUGGAUUUAAAAAAAAAAGAGAUUUCCUCCAUUGAAUGGGUCGAGGAAGAUGGACGCAGGUGACUCAAGGCGAUGAUGCGAGUGCUGAAAAUAGCUGGUAGGCAAGGCAACAGAGUCUGAGACUUGCAGCGAUAGCAGCAAAGGGACUUGAUCCAGCAUCCCACGUGCCUAUGCACUCUCCGUACCCUACCGAUUUGGCUUGGUGUUCUUCUCCUGUUUGCGGGUUGUGUGCCAUGCACUUGAUUACGCACCCCAGGUUCUACUAUGCGCCCUUGGUCCUGGCUUUAGGUAGCGGCUUGUCCCGUGCAUAAUCCAGGUACGCGUUAACUAUUCGAGCUCUUGCUAUGGUGUCGCGCAACAAGGGAACACGGGAUGUAAGAUUGAGACAGUGCUCAUAGCAACCCACAGCAAGGCAAAUGAUGCCCAUCAAGAUUGACAUGGAGCAAAGGUGGGCACAAAGGUGGACGUUGACUCCACAUGAGUCUCAACAGUGUGCUCAUUAGUAAGUGCAACACGAGCAAGAUCUUGGAUAUACUUUUCUUUGGCAAUAAUGAACAAUCUCAAGGAAGUAGCGAAGAGGAUCAACAUCAGACAUACGAAAUUCACUAUGACGAGCCUUCACGAAGGCAAUGUACUUAAGAGUCGUCGUGAUUGACAUGUAGACGAAGUGUUCGACCAUGAGUUGAAUGGUGGACUGUAAGUGCAGGAUCAUGAGCACUUGCCAAAAACCAGCCGCAAUCACCACUGAGACGAAGGGCUCAAACCAGGCACGAGGGGUUUGCUUAGGGCCAUAUAGACAGUGACGGAGACGACAGACCAUGCCAUCAGGAAGAGAACCCAGGUGGUGGCUACUUGUAGGCAUUCUUGACAUCAAGCUGAGAGAUAGACUAGCGGCGAAUAGAAGCCAUAUUGAGAAGUGUGCGAAGAGUGGUCGUGUGGGCCAUAUAUAGGAGCAAAUGUCUCAUCGUAGUCAUGACCAUGUUCUUACUACUAAACGAGCUUUCUAACACUCAAGGGUAUCAUCAGUCUUAACCUUGUAGACCCACUUACAAGUGACGAGACAAGCACGAGGAGGAAGGGAAAUGAGAUUCCACAUGCCGAUGCGGGCAAGAGCAUCAAUCUUCGAUGCCAUCACAUGCAGCCAUUUGAUAUGAACGACCUCGCGGUAAGAAGUCGUCUCGGGAAGAGCUGCACAGUAACCUUAGCGGUCAAUAGGCAGAAGCGGGCGAGCUGGAAAGAAGAUAUAAUAGUCGAGGGAGAUGGCUCAUCAGAAGAAUCCACAACAUGCGGACCACGAGUGUAGUCAAAGUGCCAAAGAGUGCCUUUACUCUCUACUGGGAGGGAAGUACCAUCGGCAGUAAGAACAUGAAUAGGAGAAUCUGGAGGUGGAUUGGAGGACAAAUUGGAAGAAUCAUAAGUUGUAUGACCAAGGAUACAUGGAGGUGUACCUGAUAUUGUAAAGUGGUCUCUUGGUACCAUUACAGUAAGUAGCAAAACCUUGAAAACCUGUCGAUGGAGAACCAAAAGAAGCAGCUACCAGACACUAACGUCCUGUAAUCUCUAGCGUAGUCUGGGGCUCAAUGGAAGAGGUCGACGAAGAAGCAUCACGAGACGAAGAAUCACUCAAUUUUCUCGAAGCGGUCGCAGAUUGGGGAUCGUUCCAACUGGUUUUUUAGUUUCAUAUUUUAUCUGUUUUUCUCUAUCUUUUUGCUUUUUUGCCAAACCGGAAAGGUCGAGGAAGAUGGACAAAGGUAGAAGGAAGAGACUCAUCAAAAGUCAUAUCCCAAGAAAUAGGCAUAUGAGGACCAACAUGAUCCCAACAAUGAUAUCCCAUGUGCUCGUCGUUGUAUCCUAAGAAGAGACACUCUACAGACUGAGCAGUUAGUUUGGUGCAUUCAUGUGGGGCAAGAAGGACAUAGCAAACAUAACCAGACAAUUGAAGUGCCGAAUAAUCAGGAAACAAUCAAAUAGACGUUUGAAAGGAGUGCCACCCCUUCAGAGCAGUGGAUUGCUGAAGAUUGAUGUGAUAGAUGGAAGUGGAGACAGACUCGACCCAAAAGUGCGGCGGAAGAGAGGUAGUGACUAUCAACGGACGAGACGUCUCAAGAAGGUGAUGAUGCUUGCACUCAACCACGCCAUCGCCAUUCUGAGCAUGUGCACCAGGACAAGAGACCCGUGCAAGAUUACCUUGCUCAGUAAGGACUACAUGUAACAGCUUGGAGAUAUAUUCUCGAGCAAAGUCAGCAUAGAACACAUGAAUAGGCGUAGAGAACAGAGUGUGAACCAUGGCAGCAAAAGACAUAUCUAGAUAUGACCUCACUACGGGGAGAAAUAAAGCAUAUCAAUGUGUGUCAAGAUAAAUCAUCUAUAUAUAUUCUCCAGCAGAGUCAGCAUAGAACACGCGAAUAGGCGUAGAGAACUGAGUGUGAACCAUGGCAACAGAAUGCUUAUAUAUAGAUAAGACCUCACUAUGGGAGAAAUCAGGGUCAGGCCGGCAAAAUUAGAGUCCCUGUGGGAAACUCAAUCCAACAAUAGAGAAUUAAACAGGUGUAGUGUAUAUAUCAUAAUGUCUUACAUAGCAAGAAAUAUAUUCAAGAAUCAUACCUAUUCGAAGCUUGGUUGCAUAGUCUUUACUUGAAUAACAACAUUCUUUUAGUGUUCUUUGAAUUAAAAUCUUCAAUUAUAUCCUCGUAAUCAAUGUUCUCCAACACUUCACUCUCAAGUGCUAUUGUGGCCAAAUCAGUAACCCUUUGUUGUGUCAUUGUAGUACACAUAUAGGACUUCAAUAGCUUUAAUUUUGAAAAGCUUCUUUCUGCUGAUGGAACAGUCACAUGAAUGGUCAAUAGAACUAUGUAUGCAAUACCUGCAUUGGGAAAACAAUCAUGUCACUUUAAAAACUUUAGAAUUUCAAUUGGCCCCAUAUCAUCCUUUGGAAUGGAGUCUUUAAGUAACCUCAACUCCACUGCAGUUCAUUGGCAUCAAUGUCAGAUUUACUAUCUUUUUUAAGGGCCGCCUCAAGAUUAUCACAAGAUUUCAAGCUCUCAUUAUCCAAUGACUGCAAUGAUUUGGAAGUAAAUAAGAAACGAAAAUCUUUCUGCUAACCUCAUAUUGUUCAAAUCUGCUUGUAAGUGACAUAAUUGCUUGAUCAAGAAUAGUUGUAAAAUAACCGUUUCUAAAUGAUUCCUCUGCAGACUGUGUGGCAACAUUUUUGUCAUCUGGGUUCUCAUCAAAAUGUCUCUUUCUCUUAAUUUCUCGUCUUUCAUGAAAUGUUGUACUAAUAACCAUAUCAAGUGCAAUUUUUUUGGCUAUCUCCAAUCUAUCUAUACCUAUACUAAUUACAGACUCCCUAAGAAUUACCACGUAAAUUAGAAUUUACUACUGACCGUUCAUCUGGUGGGACCGAAUUAUUACGGUGGAGAUUAACCCACAUAUUUUUUGCUUAAUUAUGUGCUUAGUUUCGGCAAAAAAAUAUCUAAAUGCCCAUAGUCCUUUCAUCACGGCUGUAGAAAUAGAAGCCGUCCAAUUAAAAAAGAAAAAGAAGCCGUCAUCCUUAUCCCUAACCUCCUGACCCCAACCAUCCCACACAUCGCGCCAUGGAUUGCGCCGCCACCCUUCUCAACGGCCAUUGUCGUCGCUCCCUGCCCCAUCCGCCGUUGCUCCCCGCCGCAUCAACCCUCUACCGCAUCCCACCGGCACCAUGAACUAUCUCUCUCCUUGGUCUUCUGUCUUUGACCAAUACGGGGCGGCGGCUGUGCUUCUGGUUGCGGCGGCUGUGCUUCCGGUCGCGGUGGCUGUGCUUCCAGUCGCGUGGUGGCGAUGUGGCUGGUCGAGGGAACUCAGGUGAGGCGGACUGUCACCUGUUUGUCGAUCUGUGCCCACCUCCUAUUCUUUCUCUCCCAACGAACAUUACGUACACAGUUACUGCCACACAUGGCGCUCUCCUCUCCUGCAGCGAUCCUGUUGUGCUCCUUCACACAUCGGACCACCGUGGCGCGGAAGUAACCGUAGAAGAUCGCGGUCCGCUUAGCAAAUUCGGGUGUUUUGAGUCGGCUACCCGGCAAGGUAAUUUUUUCCUUCUCAGUAGUUCUCUCAUAGAAAUUGGGUGGAAUGGAUUCAUGGGUGUGCUAGGUGGAGUGCCAUUAGAUUGCAAUGUUAGCGGGCAGAAUAUCAUCUCCUGCACACACAAACUUGGGUUUGCCAAGGUAAUAGGUCAAUACUACUAUCAUUUGGCUUUGCAAUGGUCAUUUACAUAGUUCUGUUUUUUCGAAUCAUGAUGGUUUAGUUUGUUUGUUACCAGCUGCUUCAAUUAGGACUAACAGUUGGGAGUUGUCGAUUGGAUUGAAUUUGGAAGAGGACAAUAUAAUUUUUUUAUAGUUCGUGGUUCAGUUAGCUUUGAAAAAAAUGUUCCGGUGAUGAAUAAUACACAAUGAAUUGCUUUCUGUUGCCCAGUGUACUACAAUUUAAUAUGCAGAAUGUGAGCUUAAACUUUUUGCUGAGAAAAUGUCUGCUAAACUGCUAAUUCCCACAAGGAGUAAUUCAUUCCCCGUCCAAGUAUUUAUUAUUGAUUGAUGCUUCAUCUGUUUAUGCUGCAGAGGCAUGGUCACAUGGAUGAUUAGCAUCUUUUGGCAAAGCAUGUUAAUUCACUGAAGAAAGAUGUCCACACACAAAGAUGCUUGAUCUGUUUAUGCUUCAUCUGUUUAUGCUGCACACACAAAACUAUGAGCGAAGAUGUCCACUCAUGAUUUUUGAGGAUCACUUGAGGAUGUGAUCAGUAGUGCAGCUUCAAAGAUGCUUGAUAUGACAUAGCGUUUGAUUUUUACAAAUCUGAAAGUCGAGCCUAAGCAAUGUUACGGUUCAGAUCUAAACCUUAUAGUUACUGAUUAUCUGUUAUGCGUUACUAAUCUGACCGGCCAUCAAUCUCCACCUUAACCUUUUUUUAUCUUUCUUAUUAGCUCCAUGUCUCUAGCGUCUAUAGAGUCUUAACCCAAGAAUCUCUUCUGCCGCCUUGAGUCCAAACCCUCGGCAAGAGUCUCCCCUGCAUCCUCCUCUUCUCCUUGCUGCCUAUGUCUCCUUCUUUUGCUCCUCGGGUCGCUAUUGUGAUGCGUCCAUCGUCUUUUUCAUGAGCAGCUAGAUGAUUUCAGUCUGAGAUUACAUCCUCCUACAGAGAAUCCGACCCUUUCCAUGCUGUCACUAUAGCCAGGUCUAGCAAACUGGUCGUCCCGAUGGUGUUGGGGCUUUCCCUGAGUGGACGAUCUGGUCUUUUUUAUGCGAUGUCCAAAGAGUUGCUUGCUGCAAUGAUCAAUAAGGAGACUAAGAGUCAUGGGUCCCUUUUGGUGCUGAUCUAGGUAUGCGUUAUGUAUCCGAUUACAGUUGUUUUAAGUAGCCAACAUUGGCUGCAAAGCAACAUCUUAUCUAUUAGUUUUUCACCAAUCCGAUUAAUACUCUGUAGUUCAUUAUGUUCACAUGACAAAAGAAUUUGAAGUUAAUAAAAAAAAUCUGACUGUUACUCCAUGCAAUUAGUUGUAAUUAGAGGACACUGGGAAAUAAAGUUUCAAUCAGUCCACUGCUACUGUAUGCGAAUAGUUAUAUAAGUUGGUAUAUUUGAAGGAUGUGAAGAAAAAUCGUAGUAUUUACAACAGAAUCUUUUUUGCUUACAUAUUGAGAAUGCUCUCCAUGCAUGUUGUGGUCUUUGUUUCUUAAGCUCCCAAACUAAGCUUAAGGAGCCAUAUGGAGAUGGAGAUGGUCACACACCGACAGGUUAGGGAUUUUGAGGUCCAUCAUGGCGACUAUUUUGGGAAAAAAAUUAUGGUGCAAAUGAUAUGGUAAAGUUUAGAUGCAGAGGUGUGCAACUCUCUAUCCAUCAGCAUCCAUACAUCAGGGUGGAGUAGAGGAAGGGAGCAUUUACCAGAAAUGUGUUUUUAGCAGCAUUAUUUUUAGAUAAAACAAUUAUACCUUCUUUGAUCUGUAAGCUGCACACAGGGUAGAAGAUGCAAUUUGGUUUAGAAGAAUAAGAAAACACAUUCACACCAGGGCUUAUAAUUCUUAGGAUAGUAUCAGAAAGUAUAUGCAAUAUGGUUUAGGUAACAAAAACACAACAUUAUGUCUUCCUUUGGAAAAUUUGCCACUCUGAAGACAAACAGAAUUAUCACUUUCAUCUUAUUGCUGGUAUUUUCUUAAAGUAAGAAUAUAAACAAGAGAUGGGUUUAUAUGAAGCAGGCCUACCGCAACAGUCAAAAGAUGAUGUCUCAGUAUUUCACUUAAAAGCGAGGACAAGUGCCCAUAAAUGAUUAUAUUUAUCUACUUUAUUAAACUAGCAUAUUAACUAAUCCACCGAACACAUGUACUCUAUAUUCUUACUUAUUGCAUGACGUGCUUUUGCUUCUUGAUAAAUAUGUCCAUUUUCACUAUUAUUUUACAAUAUCUGCUACGUACAGUGGCAUCAUUGAGCAUUCCUUUACUUUUCACAUUUCAGUUCAAUGUUCUGCCCAGUGCACAGUAUAUAGCUACAUUGGAUGUCGCUAUUAAAUACUUCGAGGUCAUGUGACAGAGCAUGGAAAAAGAACUAUCGAAGGUAUGUUUUAUGCUCAUACUACGAUUUUGAGAUUCAGAUGCAGUUUUAUUUAGAACACUUUUUUAUCAUAAUAUUCAAUUCCAAUGCAUUUGGAAUGGGUCAAGUCAAUUGUAAGAGUUGAAUUAGCUACUUUGCCUUUGAGUCCUUUGUGGUUUAGUUGUAAUUUUUUAUUCAAUAAAUUCCUAAAUGCACCAUUUCUUAUGAGCAGUUUUUUUAAAAUCAAAAUCGCAAUGUUGUAUAUAUGUUUCAUGUCUCUCACGUCAAUCCUAAGAGGGCACAGGCUGGGUUCAAUAUUUUUAUCGUCAGAUCUAACCAUGAUGAAGGCAGGCCCCUCCGAUUGAUAUUAGGAAGGUGGAAGGUUGACCAGCCAUCUCUUCCUCUCCGUCGUCUCUCCAUGGUGUGCAUGUUAAGAACUUAUGCAGCAGCGGACGCCAAUUUCAUGCAGCCGCCAGCAUCAACUUCUGUGGAGUGCUCUUCUACGAUCUGAUACGAGUCCCUCCGACAUCAGAGAAGUGUAGGUUUGGGCAUGCCUGACGACAAAUCCAAUAAUCAAUUGCAAACUGAUCGUAUCGUACGUUGUGUACAAUCGACAUGUUUGCUUGGGUGGAAAAGUCUCGCUUCUGAUUACAGCGCUUUCAGAAGACAGAAGAAGUCGUUUGGUUCAGCCCUUCUAUUUUGUGUUACGAUACUAUCGGAUACAGCGCUUCACUUUGCUUCCGCGAAAACGUCCGGUCACGGCUGGAUACAGAAUCCUCUCUGCUACGCAUUCCCUCGCGGUCGAACCAAACAAAACGUGCAUUCAGGAGGAAAUAUCAGAGGCAAAGCUUCCCGACACUAAAAAUCGAAAACUAUACCAACGUGGAACCAAACGCCUCCUAUAUUUCUUCAGUUCCACUGGGAAAACAUAGAUUGAUUAUGUAUCAAUAAACCAUGUGUUAGUCAAGACAAAAACAUGGAUGUAAAGCUCAGGUUUGUUAAGUUUUUUGGUUGUACGUGUGACAUGGUUCAUAUACAUAUUGCUAGCUACUUUAUUUUUCGUUCA